UCCCCUGGUGGUCUAGUGGUCUAAGAUGCAGCGCUCUUACCGCUGCGACCCGGGUUCGAUUCCCGGUCAGGGAA